CCUACGGGUGGCAGCAGUAGGGAAUCUUCCACAAUGGACGAAAGUCUGAUGGAGCAACGCCGCGUGAGUGAAGAAGGGCUUCGGCUCGUAAAGCCCUGUUGUUAGUGAAGAAAGAUAGUGGUAGUAACUGGUCACUAUUCGACGGUAUUUAAUCAGAAAGUCACGGCUAACUACGUGCCAGCAGCCGCGGUAAUACGUAGGUGGCAAGCGUUGUCCGGAUUUAUUGGGCGUAAAGCGAGUGCAGGCGGUUUUAUAAGUCUGAUGUGAAAGCCUUCGGCUCAACCGGCGAAGUGCAUCGGAAACUGUGGGACUUGAGUGCAGAAGAGGAGAGUGGAACUCCAUGUGUAGCGGUGAAAUGCGUAGAUAUAUGGAAGAACACCAGUGGCGAAGGCGGCUCUCUGGUCUGCAACUGACGCUGAGGCUCGAAAGCGUGGGUAGCAAACAGGAUUAGAUACCCUAGUAGUC
rnacentral:rRNA from 1 species